CUAGGAGAGAGCUGGCAACAUUUGGUGGAAAGCACUAUCUGAUGAAUCCGGUACACUCUUAUAUCCGUGAGACCUCAGACCCACUUCUCAUUGUCAUGACUAAAUGGCAUACAGAUAGCUAUCUAUAUAUUAAAUCCCUCAUUUAUAAGCACAGAUGCCAUAAUAAUGCAAAGGAAAUGAUUAAGCAAUAAUGCCCAUUAACUGCUCUUUCCAGGGCUAGGGGAAUGUAAUGGCUUAGUAUAGAAAGUAUCAUUAUCCAGGAAGGCUACAUUUCUUAUGCAAUGGGGAACCUAUUUACAGUUCAGAUUUGAAAGAGGAAUAACUAACUCUUCUCAUCCAAACACACCCAGCCUGCUGCCUGCAGUCAGAUGGAGAGGCGGGAGUGCUCGCAGUCUGUCCCCUGAUGUCGCCUCAUCUACCACUGCAGGGCCUUCAGCUCAUACAGGGGCCUCUGCUUUGUUGAAACACCCUGGCUUGCUGCAUCAUACUUCCCCACCCCGGCAGGUGUCACCGCCCCGCUGUAGACAAAGCCGCAGGCUCAUCCUUGCCCCCUCCCUGUAUCUCCAGUCUGCCCAGCAGGUUAGAAAGAGGCUCAGAAUCACCCGGAUCCUGCAGCUUCCUUUUCUGAACUGCCCCUCUUUCCCUCUGAAGCACCAAAGUCUGCUGCAACAUUCAGUUGCAGAUAAUUUGCUGUAAAUCUGCCCCAUCUAAGACCUAGUGCAAAGCCAUUCAGCAGGUAGAGGCAUACGCCGCAGGGCUCUCGGAAUUGGAAGUUAAGACCUUGUGUCUGCAGCCCGGAUGGCUAUCAUGAAUCUUUCUAUCAGAACACGUUCUCUGAGAUUAGGCUGCGGGCCACCAAGCAUAUGCCAUCCCCUCAGCUGCUCAGUCGGAAUCGGGCUGAGCAUCCUCCAUAAGCCGCUGAUGUCUGGGAUCCGGAAAUGUGCAGCUGCCUCUGUCUGGGAUGAUGGUCACAGGCGAGUGGAGACUGAGCUGAAUCCCUCACAGGGAGCAACCAGCAGCCGACACAGAUGUUUCAUCCAGAGAGAGAUGCUCUCGCCUUUCUCCUGGCUCCUGCCGGGGCUCUGAGCUUCCUCCUGGGUUCCAGCCUUGCCUUUUGUUCAGCAACCAAGAAGUCCUGCAUGAGAUCUCACUUCAGUUAGUCCUGCUGCAGCUUGAAUCUAUUUCCUUGUUUUCUUUUUGACUGAUUCAUCUUAAGAAUUAAAUUUUACUCCUUUAGACCUUCCUUUUUGGGGUUUCCCUGGUGGCUCAGAUGGUAAAGAAUCUGCCUGCAAUGCGGGAGACCUGGGUUCGAUCCCUGGGUCAGGAAGAUCCCCUGGAGAAGGGAGUGGCUACCCACUCCAGAAUCCUUGCCUAGAGAAUUUCACGGACAGAGGAGCCUGGUGGGCUACAGUCUAUGGGAUUGCAAAGCGUCAGACACAACUGAGCUACUAACCCACACACAGAACCUUCUUUUAGGUUGAAUAACUCAUUCCGAUUUGCCUGAAC
rnacentral:lncRNA from 1 species